rnacentral:rRNA from 1 species
AUGCUGGAGAAUUCAUUUCUAAUAGAUACUCGAAUGAAAAAAUUCGAUACCAUAGUCCCCGCUACUCUCCUCAUAGGAUACUUAUCAAAAGCUCAAUUUUGUACUGGACCGGGGCAUCCUAAACCCAUUUGGACAGAUUUAUCAGAUUGGGAUAUUCUUGAUCGAUUUGGUCGGAUAUGUAGAAAUCUUUUUCAUUAUCAUAGUGGAUCUUCGAAAAAACGGACUUUGUAUCGACUAAAGUAUAUACUUCGACUUUCAUGCGCUAGAACUUUAGCUCGGAAACAUAAAAGCACGGUACGAACUUUUAUGCAACGAUUGGGUUCGACAUUUUUAGAAGAAUUUUUUAUGGAAGAAGAGCAAGUUUUUUCUUUGAUGUUCACCAAAACAACUCUUUUUUCUUUCUGUGGAUCACACACUGAGCGUAUUUGGUAUUUGGAUAUUAUACGUAUCAAUGACCUGGUCAACCCUCUUAAUUAA